GGGGCCGUAGUCUAGCCUGGUAGCGACGCCGGCUUGGGGUGCCGGUAGCCCGAGUUCAAAUCUCGGCGGCCCCA
rnacentral:tRNA from 1 species